CAUCUAAGCAGGACUGCUGCCAACCCACUUCUGGGUCUGGAUUGGAGGAGCCGGCAACUCACUCCACCUUGGGGGGCUGAUGGGAGGCCUCAAAGAGGCCUUGGCCAUCCCACUGGGCUCAGGAGCACCAGGGGUUUAUCAGAGCUUGUGGCUGGGAGCAAUGCCAGGCCCUGGGGCUUCUGGGCCUGCUCUUCUUGAAGGGUGGCCUGCAGGAUGACCUGGUAUCGGCCCGCGGGUGUCCCAUGGCCUCAUGCAUCUGAUGUUCUUGCCCUUCAGCGUGACCGUCCAGUGCCUUCAUCGGCCGCCACAGAGCUCGUGCUGGUAGAGGACUGACCGUCUACGACCAUCUUGGCUUCCAGAUACAGCCCUUGCCCUGCCGGCCGCCUGGGUAAGACCACCGGGGGACCCCCUCCCCCUCCAACACACAGCCCAGCUCUCCCUGAAUCUGCCUCCUGCAGGUGAAGCUCCACCUCAGGAAAGACUCGGGUGACUUCUUCCUCAAUACCAGUGCUGCGGACGACAUCAAGAUGGCCUACCAGGAAACCAGGGCCAUCACCAUGGGUUCCUGCUACCUUGGAAGCAAAGAAGGAGAAAUAACUGGCAGCAGCUGGCUGAGCAAAAUUCCACGGGCUUGGAAAGGCAAUUCUCAGACCUGUGGUUGGGUAGCCCAGUGCCUGGCACAGCGGCUGCUUGUCAGAGGCUUCCGGUUGCUGUUGCCGCAACGAGGCAGUGGGGGUGCCUCCUCAGGAGAGAGAGGACCAGAGACCACCCUGGAGGGGAAUGGGUCCCUUCAUGGUCACCAAAUUUGUUGGAAACAGACGCUCGGUGCUGCAAAGAAAAAUCAGCACGGUUACCAGAUGUGUCUGAGAGAAAUCGGAGGUUGUUACCAGAUGUGUCUGAGAAAUUGUACAAGCGUAUUUUUUGGUUGUUGUUUUUAUUAUGAAGUACUAAAUGCGCUGACAAAUACGAACAGAUGGAAGUGUGAGGUGAAAACUACCCCAUCUAUCCCUUCUCUUAGUAACCACAGGUAAUAGCUCUCUUGUAAUUCCUUCUAGAUAAUUUCUUAGCAAAUGUAAGCAUAAGCAUAUAUAUAUACAGCUAUAGAUAGAUAUAGGUAUGUAGAUGUACGGACAUACAGUUGGUUGUAGUUUGCAUCAGAUCCUUAAUUAGCUUUUCUCACUUAACAGUGUAUAUUAAAGUUUAUCUUUCACAUAGGCCUGUCACUCCUGGACUCAAGAGACCCUCCCACCUCAGCCUCUCGCGUAGCUAGAACUACCAUACCCAGCUAUUUUAUUUUUUGUAGAGUCAAGCUCUCUCUAUCUUACCCAGGCUGGUCCCAAACUCCUAGGCUCAAGCAACCCUCCCACCUCGGCCUCUUGAAGUGCUGGAAUUACAGGUGUGCACUGCACCUGGUCUGUUUGCUUGAUUUCUAGCAUUUUCAUAUGUAAUUGUAUGAUACAUGGGUAUGCAUUUGUACUGUUGCUUUCACCCUGCAAAUGUUAGGGGUCGGUCAUGUCUAAGUUUCUGAUCUCUGUCAACCUGCUGGUGAAAAAUGUGUAUGUAACUUUGUGUAUUUUAAAAAAUUAAUAAAGUUGAGCACCUUUAUAUAUGUUUCUUAGCAUACUUAGGAAAACUUUGCAUUUUUUCCUGUGCACUACCUGUUUAUAUCCUUUACUCAUUUCUUUCUUUUUAACAUUGUUUUGUCUUUGUAUAUUAAGUAUUCUUGGUGUAUUAGCUCUUUGUCAUAUGUGUUGCAAAUAUUAUUCUUCCCUCUUUUAUCUCUUGAUUUCCUUGAGGAUAUAUCUGAAAUAUGCAAAUAUAUAAAAUAUAAAUAUUUACGUACGUAAAUAUAGUAUAUAUUUAUAACAUAAAAAUGUUUAUAAGUAUAAAUAUGAACCAUGUUAACAUUUAUUUUUUGCCAUAUAAAUGUUCAAAUAUUUUCUGUGUUCAAAUGUAUUCAUUUUUCUUUUCUCUUAUUUCUUUCUUAUUCUUUUUAAAUUUUUAUUUAUUUGUUUUAGAGACAGGCAUUGCUCUCUUCCCCAAGCUGAAGUGUGGUGGCAUAAUCAUAGCUCACUGCAGCCUCCCAGACUCAAGUGAUCCUCCCACCUCAGUCUCCCAUGUAGCUGGGACCAAAGGCACACACUACCACACCCAGCUAAUUUUUGUAUUUGUAGAGAUGAGAUCUUGCUAUGUUGCCCAGGGUGGUCUUAAACUCCUGGGCUCAAGCAAUCCUCCAGCCUCAGCCUCCCAAAGUGCUGGGAUUACAGGCAUGAGCCACCAUGAUGCCUGGUUAGCUAACUUUUAAAUUGUUUGUAGAGACAGAGUCUCAUUAUGUUGCCAGGCUGAUCUCUCUAACCUCCUGGCCUCAAGCAAUCCUCUUUCCUCAGCCUCUUUUUUUUUUUUUUUAUUUAAAUAGCUGUUAUUUACAUGCUAUUUAUAUAUAUUUUAAAAACCUAACUUUAGCCAAUGUGACUGCCUUUAAGAAAAAAAACCUAACUCACCGUGAGAUCAUUUUUUUAAAGAAAAACACAUGCUUUUUCUCCCCAAGAGUGAGCCACAGCGCCUGGCCCUGUCUUUCCUUUCCAACAGACAGGGUCUCAUGUGUUGCCCAGGCUGGCUUUUCUUCCCAGCACAUUUUAGACAUAUCAUUAUAUAUGCACCAGUCAAAAAUCAGUUGCAGGGAGAGUAAAAGGAAUGCAGAACAGAAAAAUAUAUUUGAAGAAAUAAGGGCAAAAAAAUUCAAAAUUUGAUUAAACUGCAGACCCACAAAUACAAGAAACUCAAUGAGCCCCACACAUAAGAAAUGUGAAGAAAAUAACACCAAGGGACAUCACAAUCUAAUUGCUCAAAAUCCAUCAUCAAUAGGAAACCUUAAAAGGAACCAAAGGAACAUUUAGGAAAACUGUAUAGAUGAACAGAGAUUAAGAUGAUACCAGAUUUCCCAUUGGAAAAACACGUGAGCAAAAAAUCAUUGGAAAGCCUGGUGCAAUGGCA
ensembl:lincRNA